AUAUAGUGCAACAAUGAUUUCAGGAGUAGAUUCCUUAGUGCCUUUGGUGAGUUUAGCUUUUAAGAAGCUAAAAUACUUAAGAGAAUUAUAUGUAAAUAUGAAAGUUUUGUAUUUAGCUUUAUUAAAGUUGUGUAUAUGCUUAUGGAGGUUUGUUUAUGGGGUUUGUAUGUCUGUUUUCUUAAGUGCUUGAGAUUCUUGAGGAAAUACAUUAUACGAAAUAUGACUGCAGCUGGAAAAUUCACAAGAAUGUAAGUAACCAGGUCUGUAAAAUGUGUUUAAAUAUAUAAGAACAUUCAAAUUAUCGGAUUUACACGUUCAUUUAUUGAAUUAUAUACAUUUAAAGUAUAAGAUAAUUUUAUAUAUAGUAUCUAAAGGAUUAUGCAAAUUUUGUUAAAGUAUAAGCUAACCUAACAAUAAGUACAAACUGCAUUUAAUUUCAAACUAAAAAUUCUUAGUUUACUAUAUUUUUGCAAUUGUGUUUAAAAGCUCAGAAAAAAUAAGUUUUUCAAUUUAUAACUGUAGGCGAUUGAAUGUCAGUGAUAACACAGGCUACUGUAAGCAUUGUUUUCUGUACACAAAAGCCUCUAUGAGAUUUAAAAAAAAAAAAAAAAAAAAAAGCCCAACUGAUGUCAGCCUGGGACGGAUCUGAGAAAUCUUUCUGAUGAAAGUGACUCUGAGGCUGGAAAUAAGGAAUCUGAAAAAGUUAGCCAGGAGAGAGGAAUAACAAUGUGUAGGGGAACACAGAAUUUCAGUCUUACUGGAAAUAAAGGAUCAAAGAGGAAUCCCUAGGGAGGCAGAUGUCACAACUCCUUAUUUGGAAAACUAUCCAAGGGGCAGCUAAAAACAGUUCUGCAAAGUGCCUCCCACUUCUAAAGCACCAUCCACAUACUUGGUAUGGUAAUAAUGAAUCUAACUGCCUAUUCCAGAACUCUCUGCUGUGAAGAGGCCGUGGUGGGCAAUGCCAAUUGGAAAACAAGGCUGUGGUUUGUGCCGCCUUCAGCAGAACCUGGUGCCAGCUCUGUGGCUCUGGAAACAGAGCUCAAUUGUAUCUUCCACUCCUCUCUCUUUUUAACCUAAUAAACUUUUCUGACAGGCAAUGGCACCACUCAGGCCUCACUGCCCGGUAGCCAUAUGAUCUCCAUCUGCACUGAGGUCAGCACAUAGGCAUAAAUGGAAGGAAGCAGAAAGCGUAUCAGGAGGAAACACAUGAAUGGAAUAAAAUGUAAACCAGACUUCUGUCCUGCCGUUGGCCCUCCCAGGCUACCAGAGACUCUUCCUCCUGGCUGACCUCUUCUACAGAGCCUUCUCCUACAUUCGCUGGGGAUCAACCACAGGAAGAAGAAGCUACAGAUGUUUCCUCAACAAAGCACUCUGAACAGAGCAGAGUAAUGCAGCUAUUCUGGACUUGGAACCAGAAGACCCAGCUUCACAUUCUGACAAAAGCACUGCCAUGCCAUGUCCCACAAAGAGAGAGAAAAUGCACCCACAAGCAGGGGAGGGGCAGAGAGAGAGAGAGACACAGCAGCCAAAGCAGCCUCCAGGCUCUGAGUUGUCAGCAAGAGCCCGACGUGGAACUCGAACCCGUGAACCGCGAGAUCAUGGCCUGAGCCGAAGCUGGAUUGUCAACUUACUGAGCUACACAGGCGCCCUAAGUAUUUGAGAUUUAAAUGAUACAGGUUAAAAAUAAAAUUUGGAUUUUUAAUCCAAAAAAAAAGUAUGAGUAUUAAAAGAGACUUCUAGCAGUAGUAUAAUAGCAUGAUGGGUUGUGGAGUCAAAUUCCUGCAAAUUCAAGAUUUGGAACAGACUACAUAAUCAUAGGUAUCAACUUUUCAUGCCACAUGUCCUCAUCUGUGAAUAAUUCUUUGCACUGUUUUCCAGGGUUAAAUGAGAAGGCAUAGCAGAGCAUCAUGUUUGUUUUCUUUCCUUUCCUUUCUUCUACUUUUUGACAUGCUUUCUCUGUUUCCCAAGCUCAUUAAAACCUGAAAAAGGAAAAUUACCUUAGUGGAUCCAAGCAAGAGAUACUGGCAUGGGAAUAUCAUGGAGCCAGGAGGAGAAUGAAUUUUUCUUGUAUGGCAGACAAUGUUAAACUCUGCUUCUGCACCCACAGUCUGGGGUAUCAUUUGUACUCUCACAAAUCCACAAUGCUUAGUUUAAAGAAGUUUUGGGUGAUGUAAGAUUGACUUGACAGUAUGCAGUUGCCAUUAUAAAGAGGGAUGCAGGGCUACAUAGGAAAACAAUGUGUCCAUGACUCACUGCGAUUUUAAAGGUUUUUUUUUUUCCUGAGCUGACACUUACAAAGAUGUGCCUCAUGAGCUCAUGCCCUACAAUUUGAGGAAUGUAUUAUUAAGUCAACUGGUUGUCUUGUUUAUGCCUAUUUAUGGUUAUGGUACCUUAUUUAUGAGUCUGUGGUAUGAAUAGUUAAGCUUCCAUCAAUGAUAGUAGUUAGGCUGAGAGACUAAAGCAAUGACACACUUGCCAAGCAAAUAUAAAUGGGUACUACAAAAUUUUUAUACACAUGUAGUGGGAGGAUGUCUGGAAAGGCAGAAUCUGGUAUGUUUCUAACUCACACGUGUGUUGAAGGAACAAAUUCCUUGAAACCCAGGCCUAUUUUGCCAUGUAAAAGUUAUCAUUGGAUGUAACUCUCCCAGGAAAGAGUAAGUUAUUAUUAUUUUUUCCUUUCAGUAUAUACCUUGAGAAACUACUACAGGACAAACAGGUUGGCAAGGAACAAUGAAUGCAACUGUCUGACUCUGUGGGAGCAGUAAGGUUGAGUGUUCCUCUUCUCCCUCAAGAAGUUCUUGGCAUCAGGGCUAACAACUGGAAAUGAAUGGAAACAAAGUGCUUUAAGGGCCCCAGUGAUAGCAAUAGCCCAGUGUUCUUCAGAGUCAUAGAUGCUUUGUUUAAAGAUUUCCCAGAGGAGCAUCAGUGCCAGGAGGAAAACAGGAUCAACCCAAAGAAUCUUCUGUACAUGGCCAGGGUUAUUGCAUAGCAGGUGGGGCAACAUCAGUGAGGGGAGAAUUUCAUUGAAAAUAGCCUUCACUAGGGGCACCUGGGCAGCUCAGUCAUUUAAGUGUCCAACUUUGACUCGGGUCAUGAUCUUGCAGUUCAUGAGUUCAAACCUGACGUUGGGUUCUGUGCUGACAGCUCAGAGUCUGGAGCCUGUUUCGGGUUUUGUGUCUCCCUCUCUCUCUCUGCCCUUUCCCCACUCUCACUCUGUCUCUUUCUCUCUCUUUAAAUAAGCACUAAAAAAAAAAAAAAAAAAAAGAAAAAAAAAAAGAAAAGAAAAGAAAAGAGAAAAGAAAAGAAAAGAAAAGAGCCUUCACUUUCGGCCAUAAAGCAUGACCCAGCAGAGCGAAUUUAUGGAGGUAGUUUUGACAAACUCCAGUUUCAAGGUGAAGCUCUUCCUUACAGGAUAUGAUGAAUAUGUGUAAGCUCUCUGGGCAAUUAGGAUUACCAUAAAGAAGAUGACUACAAGGGAGGAGAGAAGCUUAUUAUCGUGAAGGGCAGGUCAGUAUGAAGCCUUAAUCUGGUUUUGAUUUGAAUAACAUAGGACCUUACUUGUUCCCUUCUUUCAAGUGAGUUAAAGGGAUUAUCCUACUAGGUGUGAUUAAGAAUAUAGUGAGAUGAAUCUUAAACUAUUAGCUCAGUUGUGCAAGAUACCAUAUUUCUUUUAUUUAAGAAAAAUCAACUUAUCCUACUUUGUCCCUGGUUUCCAAAUCAAAACUUAUUUUGUUACACAGAAGAAAAAAGUCUGCUUUGGAGAGAGAAUUGAACUUGGGUCACCUUGAACUCUAAGAAAAUAUGGUCAUAAUUCUACAAAGAAAUAAAACACCAUACAUAUGCUAAAUUGUAGUCACUCUUGUCACUCAACAUAUUAGCCCCUAAUAAUAAUAUUGAAGAAUGCAUACAAGGUAGGCUACUGAUUUUUAAAAAUAAUCAUACUGGGUGUCUUGGUUAAGCAUUGACUUCGGCUCAGGUCAUGAUCUCGUGGUUCAUGAGUUUGAGCCCUGUGUUGGGCUUUGUGCUGACAGCUCAGAGCCUGAAGCCUGCUUCAGAUUCUGUGUCUCCCUCUCUCUCUCUGCACCUCCCUCCCACUCUGUCUCUCUCUCUUUCUCUCUUUCUCUCUCUCUCAAAAAUAAAUAAACAUUUUAGCCUCUCUGACCAGUGUGAGGCUGUAUCUCAGUGCAGCUUU